rnacentral:rRNA from 1 species
AUUGAACUCUGGCGGCAGGCCUAACACAUGCAAGUCGAACGAGUGGCGGACGUGUGCGUAAUUUCUGGGAAACUGCCUGAUGGAGGGGGCUCACUACUGGCAACGAUAGCUAAUCCCGCAUACCAUCAGAUGUGCCCAGAUGGGAUUAGCUUGUGGGUGUGGUAACGGCUCACCAAGGCGACGCUCCCUAGCUGGUCUGAGAGGAUGAACAGCCACACGGGAAAGGAGACACGGUCCAGACUCCUACGGGAGGCAGCAGUGGGGAAUAUUGCACAAUGGGCGAAAGCCUGAUGCAGCCAUGCCGCGUGUAUGAAGAAGGCCUUCGGGUUGUAAAGUACUUUCAGCGGGGAGGCGUUACCCGCAGAAGAAGCACCGGCUAACUCCGUGCCAGCAGCCGCGGUAAUUC